GGAAAAAAAAAAGAGAGAGAGAGAGAGUAAAUCCUAGAAGAGUUCUCAUCACAAGGAGAAAAAAUGUUUCCCCUUUAUUCUUUUCUUUUUAUUGUAUCUAUACGAGAAGAUGGAUGUGAGCUGAACCUAUUGCAAUAAUCCUUUUACAGUAUGUGUAAAUCAAACCAUCAUGGCCUUAAACUUAUGCAUGGAUGUACGUCAAUUAUUUCUCAGUAAAACUGGGGGAAAAAAAAACUUUGGAGGCACUGCCAAAUUCAGUCAUUCGGAUAAAUACUAUUUUAAUGCAACAUUUGAAAAAACUCCCAAUGAAUGCAAAAACAUCUGCAAUGAACAAAGUAUCUAAGUGUUAAAUAUUGACAGGCUGUGACCCCUGCACUGGCUCCACCCUCACCUCACCCUAUUUCAGGCGCUGCUGCACCUGGGAGGCCAUUCCUCCUGCCCAGCCUCCCCUCCCUGCAGUAAAGGCCUCUGAUUAAACCUUCAUUCCAGAUAAUUAAGCCCAGGGAUCUGGGGGCCUAGCAGUGAUGCAGGAGGGAGACCCUGGCAGGGGUGGGCCAAGCUGGCCCUCCCCCCGGGGAGAGGGAAGGCCAGGAGGGAGAUCACUGAGUGGCUGGAGCAGAAGCCUGAACUUAAUUAGCCCCUCAGGAUUAAUUACUAGGCCCAGGAACAGGCUGACAAAUCUAUUACCCGAGUGGCUCCCAGCUCCAGGCUUCCCUCAUUCUCUCCAUCAUUUUUCUCUAAACCUCCUCCUCAUGCUUUUCCAAGAAAAUAUAUUUAUUAAAAAAAUGCAACUUUAUAUCCUACCAUGAAAACCCAGAUACAUAUUUUCUGCGCAGAGUAGAUGGUAUAUAAAUUUGGGGAGCUAUACAAUGAAGUAACUAUAUAACUGUUAAAAAAUGAUCUACGUGGUUCUGUUUGGAACCAUGGCAACAGCUGUGAGCAAUGAGUAUGUGCUGAGCGUGUACGCACUCUUAGCUCAUCUUCUCACAACAUCUCUGCGGGGGGUGCAAGCUAUCAGCACCCCCAUUUUGCAAGAGCUUUCUGACACUAGGAUCUGUGCUCUGGGACCCCACAGAACAACCCAGAGUGGGUUCUGACUUGAGAUCUUGUCCUGCAAAGCCCCGACAGGCUCUUCUGUGAGCCACUUUGGGUUCCAGUUGAGCCCAGAUCUUGUUACUUUUUGCUUUCUGCCUCCAAACAUUUACCUUGGCUUUUUUUUUUUACCCUCCCACCAGAAACGCCCCUCCUUCAUGCCCCUCCUUCGUAUGUGUGAAUCUGCCUCAGUUUUCAAAACUCAGGGGCACAUGUCUGCAGGAGGUUUUCUUUGUGAACCCCUAAAUUGAGGCUUCACCCACCCAUCCCACCACAGGCUCCCCCACAGUCUCCUCCCCAGCCUGAUUGCUCGGGCUGGAAGGUCUCUGUGUCUCCCAGCUUGGGGGCAUCUCCGGCACUGGCUCUUUGGAUCCUGCAUAGCCCAGCUCGGGUAGGAUAUCAGUCACGGGAGGACACUCAUGGGCUCUUUGGUUUCUCCUCUCACCUCCAAGCACUAGUAUUAUCCUCCCAUUUUACAGGGGAGGAAACUGAGGCUGGGAGAGAGCCAGUGACCUGAGUCACACAGCAGAGAGGGGACAAAGUCCAAUGCUCUGUCAUGAACUGCUUCCUGUGUCCACUGCCCCACACUGUGCAGAUGGGAAACUGAGUCACCAAGGGGCGAACUGGCCUUGCCGAGGUCAUAUGGCUGGUCCUGGCGGUGGAGCUGGGGAUGGGCCCCUCAUCAAAAUGGAAGAUGAAUCUGGAUGGAAGGUGGGAAGGGCCAGAUCAUGGCAGGGCUGGUGGGGGAACCCAUCCUGGGGUAUUCCGUGGGGCCCCAGAGCACAGAUCCUAGUGUCAGAAAGCUCUUGCAAAAUGGGGGUGCUGAUAGCUCACCCCCACCCCCAGAGCUAUUGUGAGGAGAAGACGAGCUAAGAAGAGUAUGUAAACACUCAGUACGUACUCAGUGCUCACAGCUGUUGCCAUGGCCCAGGCAAAAGUGGGCAGGCUGGAAUGAGUGGAUGGGGGGCGAGGGGCAGAGAGAUGGGGCACAGUGGGACUUCCCUGGCGGUCUAGUGGUUAAGAUUCUGCACUUCCAUGGCAGGGAGCAUGGGUUCGAUCCCUGGUCAGGGAACUAAGAUCCGGCAUGCCAUGCGGUGAGGAAAAAAAAAGAAGAGAGAGAGAGAGAUGGGGCACAGUGGGGUAGAGGGAGUGUGUGUCCUCAGACUGGGGACACCGAGGCUCCUACCCCUUCUGCCUUGUCCCCAUCACCCACCUCCCUCUCCUGCUGCAGAAAUACUUAAAGGAGCCCAUGUCUUUUUGGCUGGCCUUUGGGGACAUUUCACCAUUUCCUGGGGUCCAGGGUCUAAGGAAUUAAUUUAACCGGUGCAAGGCUGAGGCUAGGAGAGGCGAACCCCAAAGUGAGAGCCUGACACCCAUUCCUCUACCCCAAGGCGUCCCCUGGCUACCAUAGGUCCAUUACGCAGAUGGGAAGACUGGGGUCCAGAGAGGAAGGAGUGGGCCGGAGGUCUCUCGACCUCAUAAGGCUCACAUCCAGGUGAGUCUCCUCCCCUCCUUCCAGAGCUCUCUCCUGGGGAGCUUUUCAUGCUCAUGAAGACGUGAGUGGUUGAUAGAAGUCUUAAUGGUGGAAACUCAGGUGUGUUAACAGGAAACUGGAGUAAUGACUCCCAGGAAGGCACAAUGCCAGGCGGCAGCUUUAAUGAUCCAGGCCUGACAGCUUCACCCCUUCAGCUGGGUCUCCUGAGCCUCCAGCCUAAUCUUGAGACCCAAGGGCCACUGCUGCCCUCAGUCCGGUGAGCACUCAGGACACACUCGUGGGCACACACACACCUGCGGCUGACACCGCACACCCCGUGGACCACAGCCGGUGCUUGUGGGUGGUAUGUGUCUCCCCCCACCCCCCAGCUUCACACAGCAGCCCAGCCCUCUGCCUGCUGCCUGGGAACAAUUAUAGAGUCAGAGGGAUGCCGCGGCCCGAGAUGGGCCGGCAUCAUGUUUAAUUCAUCUUGGGGCUAAUUAUAGCCAGGCUGGGGGAGGGGCGUGGUAACCUUGGCCUACCCUCCCCAGCCCUUCCUGCCAGCCAGGGUGACUGGGGAAGGGUGGAGGGACGGGGGCUCGUGACCCGCUGUUGGCCCCAGCUCUAGGCAGCUAAGCCAGCCCUCCUGAACCUCCUGCUAGGGUGCAUGCCCGGAGGAGGAAGGAGGCGGCGCUCAUGGCGGAAAGGCGGGCGCAGGGCCUGGCAGGGCGGUGGGAAGAAUGGGGAUUCCAGCUCAGGGCAGCUGUGAGCAAGCAUCAGGAUGGUUCCUUCCCUCCCUCCUCCUUCAGUCCCACGGAUCAGGAUUGAUACUACUAUCUGGGUUGCUACAGGCUGUUACAUCACCUUCCAGGUGGACCCACCAAAGCUAAGGUCCCAGGACAGAGCCGGCUGGUACCUAACGAUAGGUAAUAACCCACACUGAGAUCAUGUGACCGUCCGCACUGUUUGUAGCAUUCGGCCCUCCGUAAACGUUAGCCACAUUCUUUGCCGGUGUCCUUGGGUGCUUACCGUAUGCCCGGAACAGUUCUGAGCAACUUGCACGAUUGUCACCGGACGGAGAUUAACGCCUCGCUCGCCUCCGAUGCAAAACUUGAGGAGGCGCCCACAGAUGCAAGAGAUCUCAGCUUACACAUCACCUCCUCCAGGAAGCCUGAGGCUCCAGCCCAGCUCAGGGGCCUCUUCUGAGCUCCUCCAUCACAGCUCUGACACUAACCUGUGAGUGCUGAGAGGGAGAGGAUGAGCGUGUUUGGGUCCCGGUAUCUGAAAUAGGACCUGGCACACAGCAGUUGCCUGCUCAGGGAAGAAGCGAUGAAAGGCAGAGGAGGCCGAGGAAAGAUGAACAAAGCCACCACGUUCCAGGCCGGCCGGGCAGAAUGGGAGAUUUUCAGGCGGAUUGUGGAAUUCAGCGGGUUGAAUGGAGGCCGCUUCGAGCGAGGAUUCUAGCAGCUCAGAUCACAAAGGCGGCCGAGCGGGGCCUCCUCGGCAACGCUGCCAACACCUGCUCCCUUUUCAGCGCCACAAUAGGGAAGUUAAGCUUCGGCCACGGCCUCCUGCAUCCCGAAGGGACCUAGCCCGUGGGGCUCAGCUGCCCUGGGAGCUGCAGGGACGUGAGGAGGACAGCAGAGGGGUCUCUCGGCGGCUCCCUGGCCCCCACCCACUUGGUGCCAGGAGCACCCGCAGUUGUGACAACCAGAGAUGUAUCUGUGAUAACGCCCGGUUGAUCUUGGGCGGCCUCGGCCUACAGCAGCUUGAAGCAGGGUUUUGGUUUCUGGCCGGUGACAGGUCACAGCGGUGAGAGCACCGAAUCCUAGCCACUAGACCAGUGGUCGGUGACGAGGCCCUGGCGCUAUGGCUUUGCAGAAGAAGAAUUCCCACAAAGACGGAAAGUAGUGAAACAAGUAAAGUAUUUA